rnacentral:rRNA from 1 species
AUUGAACGCUGGCGGCAGGCCUAACACAUGCAAGUCGAACGAGUGGCGGACGGGUGAGUGAUUUCUGGGAUACUGCCCGAGGGAGGGGGAUAACUACUGGAAACGGUAGCUAAUACCGCAUACCAUCGGAUGUGCCCAGUUGGGAUUAGCUAGUAGGUUGGGUAACGGCUCACCUAGGCGACGAUCCCUAGCUGGUCUGAGAGGAUGACCAGCCACACUGGAACUGAGACACGGUCCAGACUCCUACGGGAGGCAGCAGUGGGGAAUAGUGCACAAUGGGCGAAAGCCUGAUGCAGCCACGCUGCGUGUAUGAAGAAGGCCUUCGGGUUGUAAAGUACUUUCAGCGGGGAGGCGUUACUCACAGAAGAAGCACCGGCUAACUCCGUGCCAGCAGCCGCGGUAAUUC